GUCAAAGCAGGAUAAUCUCCUGCAUUGCCUUCCAGCAUCAUUUUUUGACCACAUGAGUUGUGUGUUGGUUGUUUCUCUCUUUGGACUUCCAGAAAAAGUGGGAUCUGGUAACCGAAUUCUCUGAGCAGGAGACAACAAUUGCUGUUUCCAUCUUGCCUAAAGGUUUCUGGUCUGGAAGUGGAGUACUGUCUGUGUUGAAGACUGACUCAAGUCCUG
rnacentral:lncRNA from 1 species